rnacentral:rRNA from 1 species
GAUGAACGCUGGCGGCGUGCUUAACACAUGCAAGUCGAACGGAAAGGCCCAAGCUUGCUUGGGUACUCGAGUGGCGAACGGGUGAGUAACACGUGGGUGAUCUGCCCUGCACUUCGGGAUAAGCCUGGGAAACUGGGUCUAAUACCGGAUAGGACGAUGGUUUGGAUGCCAUUGUGGAAAGUUUUUUCGGUGUGGGAUGAGCUCGCGGCCUAUCAGCUUGUUGGUGGGGUAAUGGCCUACCAAGGCGUCGACGGGUAGCCGGCCUGAGAGGGUGUACGGCCACAUUGGGACUGAGAUACGGCCCAGACUCCUACGGGAGGCAGCAGUGGGGAAUAUUGCACAAUGGGCGCAAGCCUGAUGCAGCGACGCCGCGUGGGGGAUGACGGCCUUCGGGUUGGAAACUCCUUUCGCUAGGGACGAAGCGUUUUGUGACGGUACCUGGAGAAGAAGCACCGGCUAACUACGUG